AUGAAGAAAGAGAAAUAAUUAGUGAAAUCGGAGAGAUGUUUGAUUUUGGAAUUCCUGAUGGGCACCUUCUCAACAUAUAAGUGGCUCGACCAACUUGGCCCAUGUAAUCGACGCUGUUAAAUUCAACACUUCCAGCAAUAGGUGCUGAAGCAAUCACAAUAAAUAACAGAUCAGUUGUUGCACAAAAUAGAUUAGCGUAAUCAGAUUUUUGAACAUGGUGACAGUUUUGCAAUUUGCUGUAUCAAUUUGACAUACUUGUGUCUUAGUAGAGUAAUUUUCAAGUACCCCACUUGCCACUUGUCUCAGCUGUGCAUUCAUGCCCUGAGUUCUACUAAA